UACAGAGGGUGCGAGCGUUAAUCGGAAUUACUGGGCGUAAAGCGUGCGCAGGCGGUGAUGUAAGACAGAUGUGAAAUCCCCGGGCUCAACCUGGGAACUGCAUUUGUGACUGCAUCGCUGGAGUGCGGCAGAGGGGGAUGGAAUUCCGCGUGUAGCAGUGAAAUGCGUAGAUAUGCGGAGGAACACCGAUGGCGAAGGCAAUCCCCUGGGCCUGCACUGACGCUCAUGCACGAAAGCGUGGGGAGCAAACAGG
rnacentral:rRNA from 1 species